rnacentral:ncRNA from 7 species
AAGGAUCAUUAAUGAAUUCACUAUGGAGUUGUUGCUGGCCUCUAGGGGCAUGUGCACGCUUCACUAGUCUUUCAACCACCUGUGAACUUUUGAUAGAUCUGUGAAGUCGUCUUUCAAGUCGUCAGACUUGGUUUGCUGGGAUUUAAACGUCUCGGUGUGACAACGCAGUCUAUUUACUUAACACACCCCAAAUGUAUGUCUACGAAUGUCAUUUAAUGGGCCUUGUGCCUAUAAACCAUAAUACAACUUUCAACAACGGAUCUCUUGGCUCUCGCAUCGAUGAAGAACGCAGCGAAAUGCGAUAAGUAAUGUGAAUUGCAGAAUUCAGUGAAUCAUCGAAUCUUUGAACGCACCUUGCGCCCCUUGGUAUUCCGAGGGGCAUGCCUGUUUGAGUGUCAUUAAAUUCUCAAACUCACUUUGGUUUUUUCCAAUUGUGAUGUUUGGAUUGUUGGGGGCUGCUGGCCUUGACAGGUCGGCUCCUCUUAAAUGCAUUAGCAGGACUUCUCAUUGCCUCUGCGCAUGAUGUGAUAAUUAUCACUCAUCAAUAGCACGCAUGAAUAGAGUCCAGCUCUCUAAUCGUCCGCAAGGACAAUUUGACAAUUUGACCUCAAAUCAGGUAGGACUACCCGCUGAACUUAA